rnacentral:rRNA from 1 species
UUAAAUUGAAGAGUUUGAUCCUGGCUCAGGACGAACGCUGGCGGCGUGCUUAACACAUGCAAGUCGAACGGGAGAGGAUGAGGAAAUGCUUCGGCAUGGAGACAUCUGAUCUAGUGGCGGACGGGUGAGUAACGCGUGAGCAACCUGUCCUGCACAGGGGGAUAACACUGAGAAAUCAGUGCUAAUACCGCAUGAGACCACAGUAUCACAUGGUACAGGGGUCAAAGGAGAAAUCCGGUGCAGGGUGGGCUCGCGUCCCAUUAGCUAGUUGGUAGGGUAAAGGCCUACCAAGGCGACGAUGGGUAGCCGGACUGAGAGGUUGGCCGGCCACACUGGGACUGAGACACGGCCCAGACUCCUACGGGAGGCAGCAGUGGGGAAUAUUGGGCAAUGGGCGAAAGCCUGACCCAGCAACGCCGCGUGAAGGAAGAAGGUCUUUGGAUUGUAAACUUUUGUCCUAUGGGAAGAAGGAAGUGACGGUACCAUGGGAGGAAGCCCCGGCUAACUACGUGCCAGCAGCCGCGGUAAUACGUAGGGGGCGAGCGUUGUCCGGAAUUACUGGGCGUAAAGGGCGCGCAGGCGGCCGAUCAAGUUAGAUGUGAAAUACCCGGGCUUAACCUGGGAACUGCAUUUAAAACUGGUUGGCUAGGAGUGCAGGAGAGGGAAGCGGAAUUCCUAGUGUAGCGGUGAAAUGCGUAGAUAUUAGGAGGAACACCAGUGGCGAAGGCGGCUUUCUGGACUGUAACUGACGCUGAGGCGCGAAAGCGUGGGGAGCGAACAGGAUUAGAUACCCUGGUAGUCCACGCUGUAAACGAUGAAUACUAGGUGUAGGGGGUAUCGACCCCCCCUGUGCCGGAGCAAACGCAAUAAGUAUUCCGCCUGGGGAGUACGGCCGCAAGGUUGAAACUCAAAGGAAUUGACGGGGGCCCGCACAAGCAGCGGAGCAUGUGGUUUAAUUCGAAGCAACGCGAAGAACCUUACCAGGUCUUGACAUCCCUCGAAGUGCAUAGAGAUAUGUACGUCCUUCGGGACGAGGAGACAGGUGGUGCAUGGUUGUCGUCAGCUCGUGUCGUGAGAUGUUGGGUUAAGUCCCGCAACGAGCGCAACCCCUACAGUUAGUUACCAGCGGGUAAAGCCGGGGACUCUAACAGGACUGCCGUGGAUAACACGGAGGAAGGUGGGGACGACGUCAAAUCAUCAUGCUCCUUAUGACCUGGGCUACACACGUGCUACAAUGGCCGGUACAAAGAGAAGCGAGACCGUAAGGUGGAGCGGAUCUCAAAAAACCGGUCCCAGUUCGGAUUGUGGGCUGCAACCCGCCCACAUGAAGUUGGAGUUGCUAGUAAUCGCGAAUCAGCAUGUCGCGGUGAAUGCGUUCCCGGGCCUUGUACACACCGCCCGUCACACCAUGGGAGUUGGGAGCGCCCGAAGUCGUUGAGGUAACCCGCAAGGGAGCCAGGCGCCGAAGGUGAGACCGAUAACUGGGGUGAAGUCGUAACAAGGUAGCCGUAUCGGAAGGUGCGGCUGGAUCACCUCCUUUCUAGGGA